GCUUUAAUCCUCGAUAAUCUUGUUGAGAAAGGUACCCCUGGAGAUGACCACUUCCAGCCUUCCAGUUAUCUUUUCUCCAUUGCUAAACUGGAUUGCUCAGGACAGGUAUUUUAUACCCACACACCAAAGAAACUUUUUGAGGUUUGGGGAGAUGCAUCACUGCGGACCCUCUCGUAUUGCAAAAAAAAGAAGAGCCUUGGAUCUACCAGUUUAAGCAAACAUUU